rnacentral:rRNA from 1 species
UACGAAGGGGGCUAGCGUUGCUCGGAAUCACUGGGCGUAAAGCGCACGUAGGCGGAUUGUUAAGUCAGGGGUGAAAUCCUGAGCUCAACUCCAGAACUGCCUUUGAUACUGGGCGAUCUGAGUCCGGGAGAGGUGAGUGGAACUGCGAGUGUAGAGGUGAAAUUCGUAGAUAUUCGCAAGAACACCAGUGGCGAAGGCGGCUCACUGGCCCGGUACUGACGCUGAGGUGCGAAAGCGUGGGGAGCAAACAGG